AGUGAACGCUGGCGGUAGGCCUAACACAUGCAAGUCGAACGGCAGCACAGUAAGAGCUUGCUCUUACGGGUGGCGAGUGGCGGACGGGUGAGGAAUACAUCGGAAUCUACUUUUUCGUGGGGGAUAACGUAGGGAAACUUACGCUAAUACCGCAUACGACCUACGGGUGAAAGCAGGGGAUCUUCGGACCUUGCGCGAUUGAAUGAGCCGAUGUCGGAUUAGCUAGUUGGCGGGGUAAAGGCCCACCAAGGCGACGAUCCGUAGCUGGUCUGAGAGGAUGAUCAGCCACACUGGAACUGAGACACCGGCCAGACUCCUACGGGAGGGAGCAGUGGGGAAUAUUGGACAAUGGGCGCAAGCCUGAUCCAGCCAUACCGCGUGGGUGAAGAAGGCCUUCGGGUUGUAAAGCCCUUUUGUUGGGAAAGAAAAGCAGCAGGUUAAUACCCCGCUGUUCUGACGGUACCCAAAGAAUAAGCACCGGCUAACUUCGGG
rnacentral:rRNA from 1 species